rnacentral:tRNA from 1 species
GUGGGGAUAGCUCAGGGGUAGAGCGCGUGCUUAGCAUGCACUCGGUCCUGGGUUCAAUCUCUGGUACCUCCA